rnacentral:rRNA from 1 species
UACGUAGGGUGCGAGCGUUGUUCGGAAUUACUGGGCGUAAAGGGCGCGUAGGCGGCCUGCUAAGUCGAACGUGAAAUCCCUGGGCUCAACCCAGGAACUGCGUCCGAUACUGGUUGGCUUGAAUCCGGGAGAGGGAUGUGGAAUUCCAGGUGUAGCGGUGAAAUGCGUAGAUAUCUGGAGGAACACCGGUGGCGAAGGCGACAUCCUGGACCGGCAUUGACGCUGAGGCGCGAAAGCCAGGGGAGCAAACGGGAUUAGAUACCCGAGUAGU